CAGCUCGAGCUCUGGACGGGGCCACACCUGCACACCUGUCCCCCCUAGCUAUGAGGACCUACCUGUCUUGCCUGCUGCCUCUGCUGCUGGUGUGCUCAGGUGAUUUCUCGCCCCAGGAAAGCAGAGACAACUCCUUUAUCUGAGCCUGUGUGUGCUCCACGGAGCGUAGCACUGGAAAGGACUGGUGUCCUCACAGCCCAGGCCCUGAGCUGCCAUGAGUGCUCUGCCACAGGGAACUGUUUCCAGCCCACAGUCUGCCGAGAUGGCUCCCGCUACUGCCUGACCACCUGGACCAAUCAUGAAACGAUUGUUAUAAAAUCAUGUGCUUACACCUGCCCUGGCUACCAAGAGAGCCUGGCUGCCUCCAGGGCCCUUUGCUGCAACACGGAUCUCUGCAACAGCACAGUGAGCCUCAGAGUCAGCUGGGGGCUGCUGGUGCUCAGCAUCUGCCUUGCCUGCCUCAACAGAUAGCAGUGGGCUCAGCCCUGGGAAUGCUCAAGAAGGGAUUGGGAGUCUGCCGCGGACUUGCUUUGCGACCUUAGGCAGGGCACUUGCCAUUUCUGGGCCGCACCUUCAACUGGAAGGAUUCCAGGAGCGAAUGGACAUGCGUGUAGGCUUUGCAGGGGACAGUGGGGCUGCAUCUGCUCACGGCCUUUGCCGCUGUCCAGGGUGCUGCAUGGUGAUUGCUGCCGGGAGAGGUGGCCACCUGCUGGCCUCUCCGGGAUAGCGCAGUUAGGUGGCCACAGCUGUAAACCUGUUAAGGACGCCAGGUGCCAAGUCAGGCACCUCUGGUCGCCCAGACAGUUGCCUUCCAGCCUUCAUCUUCACCUGCAUUCUAAGGCUGGGUCCUCCUGAGAACCUGGGAUCAUGCCGACAUGUGUUGCUCUAAGUUGGGUCCCAAGACUGUGGGCAAAUAGAAACCCUGUGGCGGGCCCUCCUGGUCUGUGUGCAGGGGAGGAGCAGCUGCCCACAUGGGGACAGGGGCACCCCAGCACCGUGUGGGUGAGCCCUGGUGGCAGCAGGGCUGAUGUGGGAAAUGCCAGGCUGCUGAGCACCCCCAGCUCCCCCAGGACAUGGUGUCCCCAGGGUCUGCACCCUGGGGGAUGCCCUCCUGGAGGCAGAUGCACUAACCCCAAACAGAAUCUCAGCUCCUAUGAACUCCAGUCCACUCUGGACUUGCAGAGCACUGCAGAACAGGAAGACCAAGGGCCAGGCUUUGUCCAGCUGGGAGGCUGGGCACUACUCCCCAAUGACCCCCACCACUGCCUGCAAGCCCAAGCCUCUGGUCUCAGUCAGUGUGUUAAUUUGCACAUCCUUUAAUUAAAAAAAACUCACGAGAGUCGUCACUGCCUGUUCCUUGAGUGUGUUAAUUGGCUUUCUCCUUAGAGACCCGAAACCCUAAGACAGCGCACCCCCACCCCCAGGCUCUUCCGUGGAGCCCCCCAGACAGGCAUUUGUGAACAGAGAAGACUUCACCGAAGCUUCCCUGGAGGGCUUUCCCAUACCCUCUCUCCCAGAGGAGGAGCACACAGGUGGCUUCCCCAGUGUUUCC